GGCGAGGCCUGGGCGGCCUGAGGAGCGCGGACCCCGGCGCUCGGCUCCCGGCGCCAUGUGAGGGGGCUCGGGGGCCGCGGGGGGCCGGGCGCUCCCCGCCGGAGGUGUGAACCCACGUCCCUGCCCCCAGGGCCACCUGCAGGACGCGGACACCUACCCCUCAGCAGACGCCGGAGAGAAAUGAGUAGCAACAAACUCCAACAGUGCCAGUGAGGUCUUCCAUUACGGCUCCCUGCGGGGCCGUAGCCGCCGACCUGUCAACCUCAAGAAGUGGAGCAUCACUGACGGCUAUGUCCCCAUUCUCGGCAACAAGACGCUGCCUUCUCGGUGCCACCAGUGUGUGAUUGUCAGCAGCUCCAGCCACCUGCUGGGCACCAAGCUGGGCCCUGAGAUCGAGCGGGCUGAGUGUACAAUCCGCAUGAAUGAUGCACCUACCACUGGCUACUCAGCUGAUGUGGGCAACAAGACCACCUACCGCGUCGUGGCCCAUUCCAGUGUGUUCCGAGUGCUGAGGAGGCCCCAGGAGUUUGUCAACCGGACCCCUGAAACCGUGUUCAUCUUCUGGGGGCCCCCAAGCAAGAUGCAGAAGCCCCAGGGCAGCCUCGUGCGUGUGAUCCAGCGGGCGGGCCUGGUGUUCCCCAACAUGGAAGCAUAUGCCGUCUCUCCCGGCCGCAUGCGGCAAUUUGACGACCUCUUCCGGGGUGAGACGGGCAAGGACAGGGAGAAGUCUCAUUCGUGGUUGAGCACAGGCUGGUUUACCAUGGUGAUCGCGGUGGA
rnacentral:sRNA from 1 species